rnacentral:rRNA from 1 species
UACGAAGGGGGCGAGCGUUGUUCGGAAUCACUGGGCGUAAAGGGCGCGUAGGCGGCCCUCUUAGUCGCGUGUGAAAGCCCCGGGCUCAACCUGGGAACGGCGCGCGAAACGGGAGGGCUGGAGUUCGGGAGAGGAGAACGGAAUUCCUGGUGUAGCGGUGAAAUGCGCAGAUAUCAGGAGGAACACCGGUGGCGAAGGCGGUUCUCUGGGCCUGUACUGACGCUGAGGAACGAAAGCGUGGGGAGCGAACAGG